UACGGGGGGGGCAAGCGUUUGUUCGGAAUUACUGGGCGUAAAGCGUGCGCAGGCGGUUCGUUAAGUUCGUUGUGAAAGCCCCGGGCUCAACCUGGGAACUGCAAUGGAAACUGGCGGGCUUGAGUGUGGCAGAGGGGGUGGAAUUCCGCGUGUAGCAGUGAAAUGCGUAGAGAUGCGGAGGAACACCGAUGGCGAAGGCAGCCCCCUGGGCCAACACUGACGCUCAGGCACGAAAGCGUGGGAGCAAACAGG
rnacentral:rRNA from 1 species